GGGGAUUUAGCUCAGUGGAAGAGCGCUUGCCUAGCAAGCGCAAGGCCCUGGGUUCGGUCCCCAGCUCCA
rfam:Rattus norvegicus chromosome X, whole genome shotgun sequence.